GUCUAUGGCCAUACCACCCUGAAUACGCCCCAUCUCAUCUGAUCUCAGAAGCUAAGCAGGGUUGGGCCUGGUUAGUACUUGGAUGGGAGAAUGAGUAGGAGUGAACCAGGGGACAGGAGGGA
rnacentral:rRNA from 1 species